UUGCUCUGAGUGUGAAUAUUUGAGUUACAAAUCACCUACUGGGACUGACUCUGUUUGGAAAGAGAACUGCAAGGUUCUAAGCACACCAUCACCCUACACCAGACGCUGUUCAAGCACGGAAAUGCACAUUGAAACAGACGGCUGGAAUGUGUAGACGGUUUCGUGCACAAAGCUGCAACAUCUGGAUGAAUGUAGAUUAACUACACCAUCCAGAUGUUUGAAAGUGAGUUGUGGGUAAGCGACGUAUUUAUGUGACUGUCAGUUUUGUUAUUGUCUUCAGGUGCUGCAAGGUUAGUACUUCUUGCUUAAACCUCCCUUGAUUCUGGAAACACAUGGUGCUAAACCCAGCGGGUGCAUCAGAGACUGAAGGGGAUUAGGGUUGGUGAAUCAGUUGAAGUAGGGGGCAAGGUUAGUGGCUCAGCUACACAUUCUUUUUUAAAAUCCCUUCCCUCUCUUUUGAAAGGGUUUUGGCAAUCUGAACCUGAAGUCUGAUAUCAGUUCUGAUUUCAGCUAUUUUAAGCCUCUUAGUUCUCCUGUCCUCUUUCUUAGAUUCAAAGGCAGGAUGCAGCUAUUGUCAUUUUUCUCAAGCCCCCAUCAAUAAGCCUCCUGGUACAUGAGCUACAAGUAUAAAAGUACAGCAUCUCAGUCUCUCCUUAACCUCUGUGUGGCAACUGUUGGAGGGUGAAGUUCUGGGGAUCUCCUUUAAAUAAACUCCCCAGAAUCUGCUUGGAAGUGUAGGCAGAUGGCCUAACAUGGGUCUUAGACACACCCAUUUGGAUUUGUCAUUGUUCGGGCUGUCAGGAGACUUGAGCUUUGAUGAAUCACAGAACACAUCUUUGGAAAUCAGGCCUGGAACUGACACUAUGACCAAGUGCUUCUGAUCAAGUGAGGCUCUUCUCAACUUGCUGGAUUGCAGAGAUGUGCUCAGGCCGAGCUUGAAGACAUUUCUGAUGGACACAUUUUUGAGGCUCUUCAAACAUGGGCCAGGUAUCUAUCACCCUUCCCAUUUCCAUAAACAGGAAGAUAUAUAGGUAAGUAAGGGUAAAUGUAUAAAUAUAGACACCUUUCUGUAAUGACUCCCAAGGAAAACCUGUAAUAAGGGAGCACUCUAAAUACUUAAGUGGUAAACUCUGCAUCCAGAAGAUUCAGAGACAUAUCAUUUCCCUGCCAGGCACUUCCACUACACUUCCAAAAUCUGCUUAGUUACAAGUAGACACACAUUGAAGUUGGACCAGUGAUGGAUGACAAUUGCAUGCCAUAGGAUCUCUGCAGGAAAUAAUUUGGUGGAGAUCUGUUGCAGAGUAUUAUUUUAACUGGACAAAGAUAUGCUACAUUUGCUUAUGCUGCAGAAUAUUACUUUAACUAUGU